ACAACUUUCAACAACGGAUCUCUUGGUUCUGGCAUCGAUGAAGAACGCAGCGAAAUGCGAUAAGUAGUGUGAACUGCAGAAUUCAGUGAAUCAUCGAAUCUUUGAACGCACAUUGCGCCCUUUGGUAUUCCAAAGGGCAUGCCUGUUCGAGCGUCAUUU
rnacentral:rRNA from 1 species